UUACCAUGCAAGUCGCACGAAACCUUUCGGGGUUAGUGGCGGACGGGUGAAGUAACGCGUAGGAACCUAUCUGGAGGUGGGGGAUAACAUCGGGAAACUGGUGCUAAUACCGCAUGAUGCCUGAGGGCCAAAGGAGAGAUCCGCCAUUGGAGGGGCCUGCGUUCGAUUAGCUAGUUGGUUGGGUAAAGGCUGACCAAGGCGAUGAUCGAUAGCUGGUUUGAGAGGAUGAUCAGCCACACUGGGACUGAGACACGGCCCAGACUCCUACGGG
rnacentral:rRNA from 1 species